rnacentral:rRNA from 1 species
CAGUAGCCACGGGAAUACGUAGGUGGCAAGCGUUGCCCGGAAUUAUUGGGCGUAAAGCGCGCGCAGGCGGAUCAGUUAGUCUGUCUUAAAAGUUCGGGGCUUAACCCCGUGAUGGGAUGGAAACUGCUGAUCUAGAGUAUCGGAGAGGAAAGUGGAAUUCCUAGUGUAGCGAUGAAAUGCGUAGAUAUUAGGAAGAACACCAGUGGCGAAGGCGACUUUCUGGACGAAAACUGACGCUGAGGCGCGAAAGCCAGGGGAGCGAACGGGAUUAGAUACCCCGGUAGUCCCUGUCUCUUAUACC